rnacentral:rRNA from 1 species
CGCGUAGGCGGUUUGUUUAGUCGGAUGUGAAAGCCCCGGGCUCAACCUGGGAAUUGCAUUCGAUACUGGCAGGCUAGAGUAUGGUAGAGGGAAGUGGAAUUCCGGGUGUAGCGGUGAAAUGCGUAGAUAUCCGGAGGAACACCAGUGGCGAAGGCGGCUUCCUGGACCAAUACUGACGCUGAGGUGCGAAAGCGUGGGGAGCAAACA